rnacentral:rRNA from 1 species
AACGAACGCUGGCGGCAGGCCUAACACAUGCAAGUCGAACGCCCCGCAAGGGGAGUGGCAGACGGGUGAGUAACGCGUGGGAACCUACCCAGUGGUACGGAAUAGCCCAGGGAAACCUGGGGUAAUACCGUAUACGCCCGAGAGGGGAAAGAUUUAUCGCCAUUGGAUGGGCCCGCGUCGGAUUAGCUAGUUGGUGGGGUAAUGGCUCACCAAGGCGACGAUCCGUAGCUGGUCUGAGAGGAUGAUCAGCCACACUGGGACUGAGACACGGCCCAGACUCCUACGGGAGGCAGCAGUGGGGAAUCUUGGACAAUGGGCGCAAGCCUGAUCCAGCCAUGCCGCGUGAGUGACGAAGGUCUUCGGAUUGUAAAGCUCUUUUGGCGGGGACGAUAAUGACGGUACCCGCAGAAUAAGCCCCGGCUAACUUC